rnacentral:rRNA from 1 species
UAAUACGUAGGUGGCAAGCGUUGUCCGGAUUUAUUGGGCGUAAAGCGAGCGCAGGCGGUUUCUUAGGUCUGAUGUGAAAGCCUUCGGCUUAACCGGAGAAGUGCAUCGGAAACCAGGAGACUUGAGUGCAGAAGAGGACAGUGGAACUCCAUGUGUAGCGGUGAAAUGCGUAGAUAUAUGGAAGAACACCAGUGGCGAAGGCGGCUGUCUGGUCUGUAACUGACGCUGAGGCUCGAGAGCAUGGGUAGCGAACAGGAUUAGAUACCCUGGUAGUCCAUGCCGUAAACGAUGAGUGCUAAGUGUUGGAGGGUUUCCGCCCUUCAGUGCUGCAGCUAACGCAUUAAGCACUCCGCCUGGGGAGUACGACCGCAAGGUUGAAACUCAAAGGAAUUGACGGGGGCCCGCACAAGCGGUGGAGCAUGUGGUUUAAUUCGAUGCUACGCGAAGAACCUUACCAGGUCUUGACAUCUUCUGCCAACCUAAGAGAUUAGGCGUUCCCUUCGGGGACAGAAUGACAGGUGGUGCAUGGUUGUCGUCAGCUCGUGUCGUGAGAUGUUGGGUUAAGUCCCGCAACGAGCGCAACCCUUAUUGUUAGUUGCCAGCAUUCAGUUGGGCACUCUAGCAAGACUGCCGGUGACAAACCGGAGGAAGGUGGGGAUGACGUCAAAUCAUCAUGCCCCUUAUGACCUGGGCUACACACGUGCUACAAUGGACGGUACAACGAGUCGCGAAACCGCGAGGCCAAGCUAAUCUCUUAAAGCCGUUCUCAGUUCGGAUUGCAGGCUGCAACUCGCCUGCAUGAAGUUGGAAUCGCUAGUAAUCGUGGAUCAGCAUGCCACGGUGAAUACGUUCCCGGGCCUUGUACACACCGCCCGUCACACCAUGAGAGUUUGUAACACCCAAAGCCGGUGAGGUAACCUUCGGGGACCAACCGUCUAAGGUGGGACAGAUGAUUAGGGUG